GAUUAACGCUGGCGGCGUGCCUAACACAUGCAAGUCGAACGAUGAAACUUAACUGAUUUCUUCGGAAUGAUUUUAAGUGGAUUAGUGGCGGACGGGUGAGUAACGCGUGAGUAACCUGCCUUGGAGAAGGGGAUAGCCUUUGGAAACGAAGAAUAAUACCCUAUGAUAUGAUAAUAUCUCAUGAUAUUAUCAUCAAAGAUUUAUCGCUCUAAGAUGGACUUGCGUCUGAUUAGUUAGUUGGUGAGGUAACAGCUCACCAAGGCAGCGAUCAGUAGCCGGCUUGAGAGUGUACGGCCACAUUGGGACUGAGACACGGCCCAGACUCCUACGGGAGGCAGCAGUGGGGAAUUUUGCACAAGGGGGGAAACCCUGAUGCAGCGACGCCGCGUGAUUUAGAAGGCCUUCGGGUUGUAAAAAUCUUUUGUAUGGGAAGAAAAUGACAGUACCAUACGAAUAAGGACCGGCUAAUUACGUG
rnacentral:rRNA from 1 species